GACGAAGGGGGCUAGGCGUUGUUCGGAAUUACUGGCGUAAAGGCGCGAUGUAGGCGGUUGCCCAAGUCGGGUGUGAAAGCCUUGAGCUCAACUCAAGAAAUGCACUCGGUACUGGGUGACUAGAGGACCGGAGAGGAUAGUGGAAUUCCCAGUGUAGUGGUGAAAUACGUAGAGAUUGGGAAGAACACCAGUGGCGAAGGCGGCUAUCUGGACGGUUUCUGACACUAAGACUCGAAAGCGUGGGGAGCAAACAGG
rnacentral:rRNA from 1 species